rfam:Clostridium sp. CAG:349 genomic scaffold, scf94
AUUACAGUAACUUAAUAUCCAAAGACAGCAAGCACCUUUUGGUUUAAAAUUCGCUCGCCGAGGAACUACUAAUCAUUAUUAAACGAUUAUGCCGUUUUUCACGUCUUUGGGAAACGGCAUUAUUUUAUGCCUU